UCCUCGAUGGUCUAACGGUUCAUGAUUUCCGCUUGUCACGCGGGAGACCUGGGUUCGACUCCCAGUCGGGGAG
rnacentral:tRNA from 1 species